UUAAUGUUCUUGGUUUGUUUAAGUAUUACAACAAUAAUAGAAAAUAAAUUAAAGUUUAUUAUUAACAAAAGUGAUUUUAAGAGUUUUAGAAUGAGUAAAGGGAAAGAAAAUAGGAAUAAAAGUGAUAAAAAAUGGAUGAGUGGCGGUUUUUCUUAUUAUAAAGUAAAUGAAUAUGAAAGAAACGAUGGUGUUGUUACGACGAGCACAAUAAAAAUUUCAACUGCCCAGCAACCGGGCACUUUAUUAAUAACAUUUAUUAUACAAAAGUGAAAAAACAUACAAACGAACCAGAUCCGUUGUUAAUACAGAGACGAGCAACCUAUAAACGUGCGAAAGAUUUGAGUGUAAUACGUGGAAUCAAUGCAGGCCAAAAUUAUACUACAUCUUUCUUAAUAGAAAAUAGUAAAAUUGCUGAAGUUACACCACCGUGCAAAGUGCGUAGAACACUACAAAAGAAGCUUAAUAUUAAUAUUAAGUGUAAUAUAUAUAUAGCUUAAUAUAGUAAUCAAAAUACAGUGUAAUAUCAAUAAUUUGAGGUUAUCAAGCCGGUCAAAUAUUUUUAAUAAAAAAUGCUGGUAUGUGGUCUGAGGCAAUACGUAUUUGGAGAGAGUACUUACCAAGUCAAGAAGCAGCUUUACGUCGUGAGUUAACACAAAAAAGCAUUGGAAAUGAUAGCACACAAACUCUGAAAGAAGCUGGAUGUUGGUUAAAAAUACCGCUUCACAAGUUGCUACAGAAUUAAGAUGGUAUAAGCAUUAUAGCUUACAAGAUCAAUACGUCAGGCAAAGAAGAAGGUUUUGGUCAGUCUAUUUUACACUACGGUCAAUUAGUAUUUCAUGCUUCUCCAUAUAGUCUUCAGGAUGUAUUUAGCUGUAUGGUAACAGCUAAAUUUAUACAUGUACUUCAAAAAGAUGUAUUUCGAGCUCUUUGUAAAUUAUCUAUGAAACCUCUACCAGAUGGAACAUCUGAUCCCAAAUCACAUGAAUUAAGAUCUAAAAUAUUAUCGUUACAAUUACUAUUAGGCAUUUUACAAAAUGCUGGACCAAUCAUACGAUAAAAUAAACUGUUUGUUAUUACAAUUAAACAAUACUUGUGUGUUGCAUUAUCUAAAAAUGGUGUAUCAUCUCUGAGAAUGAUCAGAGAUUCAACUGGACAAUAAUACGAACAGUCGUAGCAGAAGAACUACUUUAGUAGAAAUCUUUAUAGUACACUGCAAUUUUCUUUCUCUUUUUCAAUAAAAAAAAAAUUAUAUAGUGUGGAUAGUGGAAUUAAAGUUACUCUUAUCCCAGUUGUUCUAUUCAAACUGCAUGAAUAUAAGAUCUAAAUUUGUUUGACAGCCUGAUUAAUUUUGUUUUGAUAUCAAUAAUUAUAUUAUAGACCUAUACAAUUCAAUGUUUAUUAAUAUUCUGCUAUUAUACAAUUUUUAUAUAAAUUUUAUUCGGUGUAUGCAUAAAUGUUAACAAACGAACGAUUAGAUAAAACAGCGAUUGGAGAUUUCUUAGGAUAUCACAAUCAUAAUCAAGUUAUGAAUAAUUAUUAAUGUAGUUAACUACAUUGAUCAAAUGGAUUUUGCUAAUAGAGAUUUAGUUACAGUAUUUAAUACAAAAUUACUUAUUGAAACAAAUCGAUAAAUUAGAUUUAGAAAUAAAUUUAGUAUCAUCAAAGAGAAAAAAUUGUAUAAUUAU